rnacentral:piRNA from 1 species
UGAUUUCUUCUUUUUUUAAAA